rnacentral:rRNA from 1 species
GUGGGGAAUAUUGCACAAUGGGGGGAACCCUGAUGCAGCCAUGCCGCGUGAAUGAAGAAGGCCUUCGGGUUGUAAAGUUCUUUCGGUGACGAGGAAGGUGUUUGUUUUAAUAGGACAAGCAAUUGACGUUAAUCACAGAAGAAGCACCGGCUAACUCCGUGCCAGCAGCCGCGGUAAUACGGAGGGUGCGAGCGUUAAUCGGAAUAACUGGGCGUAAAGGGCAUGCAGGCGGACUUUUAAGUGAGAUGUGAAAGCCCCGGGCUUAACCUGGGAAUAGCAUUUCAGACUGGGAGUCUAGAGUACUUUAGGGAGGGGUAGAAUUCCACGUGUAGCGGUGAAAUGCGUAGAGAUGUGGAGGAAUACCGAAGGCGAAGGCAGCCCCUUGGGAAGAUACUGACGCUCAUAUGCGAAAGCGUGGGGAGCAAACAGG